rnacentral:lncRNA from 1 species
GCUCAAUAAGGUGAAACAACUUUCUCAAGACCCUGUGGGCAGGAGUGGAGGAGUGAAGCUAAGAGUCCAUUUGGCAAAUGAAUCUGAGCCAAUGAGAAACAGCUCCAAAACCAUCCCACGAGGGAGCAGCCCUGUCCUUGUUGUCACUGACUCCAUCCUGCUUGGCCCAAAGACAGGCUGAGCUCUCCCCAGUACCAUGUGGACACAACAGUCAUGAGAGGGCCACAGCAAGGGGUAUCCAUGGAAUAUCGUCUUGCUUAGAAUGUUUCAAACUUGUCCAAAGGACAACAGGAGGACUUUACCCUGGAGGACUUUUAAAUGAGCAUGUGUUCCACUAUGCACAUCUGCAGUAAAGGCCGACGAAGAAACCAAACUGGGACCAAAGGAGCUAACAUUUCUUGAAGGCCAGUGCCAGACACAAGCCAUGAGUCACAGAAAUGUGGUAGCCAACUUUGGAUGAAGCCAAUUUCUCAUCCCUACUUCCCUCAGCAGAAGCCAAUAGUGAGAUGGCUACUCCCACCUGACACGUGACUAGAACUCAUUCUCCGAAUUCUGAAUCCUCUUUCAUUACUCUAUAAACUCUGCAACUUGAUAGUCAGUGUUAUCCCUAAUUCAGAAGAAAUUCUACCUUAAAGCUCUGCCUCCCCUGGCCCAUUCUCCUUCCCUUGGCAUCAGGAGGUAUUCAACCAUUUUGAUGAGCCUGGAGAUCUAAUCUUAUGAGAAAGAACUCUAUGCGAGCACUUUUUUGGGAUAAUUUUUCUCCCUAGGAGGAUCCAUCAUUUUCCGAGUGUACCAGGAA